AUUAGAUGAGCCUAUAUUAGAUUAGCUAGUUGGUGGAGUAAUAGCCUACCAAGGCAAUGAUCUAUAGCUGAUCUGAGAGGAUGAUCAGCCACACUGGAACUGAGAUACGGUCCAGACUCCUACGGGAGGCAGCAGUGGGGAAUAUUGGACAAUGGGCGAAAGCCUGAUCCAGCUAUGCCGCAUGAGUGAAGAAGGCCUUUGGGUUGUAAAGCUCUUUUAGUGAGGAAGAUAAUGACGGUACUCACAGAAGAAGUGAAGUCCUGGCUAACUCCGUGCCAGCAGCCGCGGUAAUACGGAGAGGGCUAGCGUUAUUCGGAAUUAUUGGGCGUAAAGGGCGCGUAGGCUGAUUAAUAAGUUAAAAGUGAAAUCCCGAGGCUUAACCUUGGAAUUGCUUUUAAAACUAUUAAUCUAGAGAUUGAAAGAGGAUAGAGGAAUUCCUGAUGUAGAGGUAAAAUUCGUAAAUAUUAGGAGGAACACCAGUGGCGAAGGCGUCUAUCUGGUUCAAAUCUGACGCUGAGGCGCGAAGGCGUGGGGAGCAAACAGGAUUAGAUACCCUGGUAGUCCACGCUAUAAACGAUGAAUGUUAAAUAUGGGAAG
rnacentral:rRNA from 1 species